UCCUCGCUCGAAGAAUCGCAUUCAAAGCUUACGCACAGGAGAAAGGCUAGUAACCCUUCAAAAGGUUACUUUCUUUUCUUCAAACCAUCAUCACUCUCUAGCUUUGGGAGAAAGUCCCCGGACACCCUGCGCCCUCGCCGUAAAACCGUGAGGGUUCCCUAUGUUUUUUUUAUAAAACAAGCCAGGCAAUGCGGAAACGCGCCGCCAUAGAAGCAUUUUACAUUGCGGCUUAAGCCUUUUCCCUUUCCCUUUUCUUCUCUUUUGAGGAGAGAGGGGCUCGCCUCAUUUUUCUAGCCCGACUCUUGGCUUCUUUUUGUUCGCCAGAGGAAACAAUGGUGGUUAGAUGGGGUGGGGGGGGUUUUCUCCCGAGGGAUAGGUUGCUCUUCGUCGUGGUUCGAUAGUCAUGCGAUUGCUUUGGUUUCUACGUGUAAUUUUAUUAUAUGUUGUGAAUCAAAGUAACUCGAUGGGGCUUAUUCUUGAGGCGAGG
rnacentral:RNase_MRP_RNA from 2 species